GGGCCUGAAAAAGAGGACAGAAAUCAACGUUUCUCCUGGCAAAAGCAUCAACAGAGAUUUAACACCUAAGUUUUUCAUUAGGCUGCUGGAAAAGUAAGUUCUUUAAACCACUGGCUAAGAAAUAAAAGUGCCAUCCUCAUACUCUCUAAUCUUGAAAUAUUUGGUAUUACAGCAAGAAACUCUUAAAAGGAAAAGGUUAAGGGCAAAUAUGAAAGUCAGGGCCCUGCUUAGGUUUUUGUUUUUGUGGGUGUUUUUAUUUGUUUGUUUGUUUUAAUCAUGGGGCUCCAGGAAGGCAGAAGAGGCUGGAGGAGCACAGCUAGAGAAGUCUUCGGGGAGCUCCGCAGGGAGGAAUGACAAAGGGGAGAAAGGAAAUAUAACACUGAUGACCUUACAUGGGAAGAACCUGUUUUGAAACAGGUUUUUCCAUAGUCCUACCUGCUGGAUAAAAAGUCCACCCUGAAUCCAUUUACGACUCAAAACUCACUUUUCUACCUUAUUACACAGAGAAACAAGCUGCAUGGUCACUGGCAGGCUCAAGCUUUGCUACCAGAAUGCAACCAACAUUCCUGCUGGAGAAAGAACUCUCUCAGUUUCAGAGCACCUUCCGUAAAACCCACGCUCGCAAAGGCGAGCACCAAACCAGUCUGGGGUGAGCCCCGAGUUACUUAAGACAGGUGGGAAGUGCUCUCUUCUUCUGGGUAUCAAUGCACAGGGCUAGGGCUCAGCGAACCAGGAACUGUUAUGGAGGUCCAAACAGCUAAAAACAAGCAACCAUCCAGGCCCACUCCAUACUCGCUGAUGAGGGCCAUAAGAGUUCAUCAAUGCUUCAAUGCUCGUGCCCUACUCAAGAUUCAAAAAAGGCUGACUCAUUUCACUUGCCACCAACUUGAAAAGGGAUCAGACCCACAGCUCCCAACUGAUUCAACCAAAACUUUUACUGGAAUGAACUAAAAAUAUCCAGCAGGGCUGGGCCACAAGCCUGCAGCCUGCCAUUUCAGAGUGAGUGCAUUAUUUAUGAAAGAAUAAACUGCUGAGUCUCUACUAAUGGCUCCAAGGUCAGCAGGAUGAAGAAAUCCAGCACUAGCGGGGGAGCGCAUGCUGCUAACAAGUCAUGGGUACCAGCCACACCGUAAAGACGCAGGACAAUUCCACCUACCUCACAGUCAGCCUAGGACGAUGUGUGUUUAUAUUUCUGAAAAACAUUUUUAAUUGUCAUUCUUAACCCCCAAAGCACCCUGAGCUGGAACAGAAGGUGGCCUGUUCCCCACAAUCCCUCAAACUAAACAAUUCUGCCUCACUGUCUUAUUAAAGCAAGACUUUCACUGCACUGCCUUUGAAAUAGACGGCCCUGCACCUUACUCCACAUCUGGGGACAAGGCAGAGAGGGAACUCAAAAAACACAGAAACCCAACUGGACUGAUAAUGUAGAGCCUUAGUGAGAUAGGAAUAGCACUAAAUCUAUUAAAGAUGGUCUACUUAUUUUUAAAGACUUUAUUUGUCAGAGACAGAGGGAGAGAGCCCAAGCAGGGAGAGCAGCAGGGAGAGGGAGAGGGAGAAGCAGGCUCCGGCUAAGCAUGCAGCCAGAUAUGGGACUCGAUCCCAAGGUCCUGGAAUCAUGACCUGAGCCACCAGGUGUCCCAAGAUGGCCUGUUUUAACACUAUCAAAACAAAAACCCAAUUUACAAAAUUCUGCCCCUCUCCCUGGCCCAAAUCUUCAAACGACAAAAAAGUGAAGCUGAUAUAAAGCAUUAAUGCUAAGCAGUGUAACCAAGAAUCAGGAAACCUUCACUUCACCGUGCAUCACCCCUUUUUUACAGAACUAUAGCGAAACACUCUUCGCUAACUGGAAAAAACAACAACGAAAAACAAAACCAGCCUAUUUUUAAAGGUCAUCCAGAAAGGAAGCUUAAGGUCUUCUCUGGUAACCUUGCCAUGUUUAAGAAUCCUCAGUGUGUCUCAAAAUCCUUCCUUUUUAUCUACAAAUUCCAAUUUGAUUGGAUUCAUUUUAACUGAAGCAUAAAACCAGACUAUUUUAGAAUCUAAGCCAGAUGUGCUAGUUCUAACAAUGUUAGCAAAAUAAAGCUUAAGAGAUAAGAACUUAGAAUUUUUACUUCAUAAAACAACUUUUUGAAUCAGCACUUUUUAGCGCAACGAGUUACCUUCUUCUUCAGUGAGCAGGCAUGAUAAUGCCAUCUCUGCCCCUUUCUCCAGAAGUCUGGGCCACACUUGGCUUUAGCUCAUUAACCAGUCGGGUCUCAAUCAAACAAAAUGUUUCUAUUACUCAAUACAAUUUUCCCUCUUUCCGAAGAAAAGCAAAGAAAACUGAAAUCUGUAUGUUGCAUUAUUUAAAACAUACUCAAGUAGGAGAGUAUUCUACCUGAUGUCAAUAUCAACAGCUCUCCGCCCCGCACACAGAUCUGUCAGAGCCCCUGUCAAACCCCAAAUCACCCCAGCUGGAGGGCCUUCACUGCAGAGGAGCUGCUUCCCAACCGAGAGGGCAUCAGAGGGGUCCUCUGGCCUCUCAACCAGUGCUAAUCCUCCCCUCCCUCCCCGCAUGUAACAAUGACAUUCACUAAUGGAUUUCUGUAUAAACUUUGCUGAAAACCGCACACUUUAGCCUAUGACGACCAUGAUCAUUUUCUUGCCAUUUUUCAUUUCUCACAAAGUCAGAUGAUGAUAGGAUUUGCUUCCUCUCUGUUUAGUUAGAGUGAGGCUGCAAAUUUUGUUCUUCACAUGCACAAGUUGAGAGGCACACAGAAGGGACUUGACUGAUGGGUGUGGACUAGAAAUCCUGAAAGAAAAUACAAGACUGAGUGGUCGCAAACAAACUCUGCAGCAGAAAGGAACCGCUCUGAAGAAGGCAGUCAAGAGAGCAUUGCUUCACUACCGAAACAAAGGCACACACCUGCUAAGGCAAUUCGGCCCAAGUUCAAAGACAAGGGCAUCUCCCAUCAGCAGCAUUGUGGUUGUGCUCAGUAACUCGGGUGGAGGGAUGGAUCCUAACACUCUAGAGCUGGGACAGGAGGCAACUUAAACCAGCCUUUCCAGAAGAAGCCACAUCCAAAUAGAGCCACAGUCUGGGUCUGGGCUUGUGAAAAACCACACCCGGAUGGCAGUCAGAUGCCACUCUAAGCCCCUCAACAAAAACCAAACAGGUGCCUCUGGAGAAAGAGCAGCCUGCUGGGUCCAGAGACAAAGUUGUCAAUUCAAGGAAAACCAUGUUGUCCUAUGAAUGGGAAAUCUAAAACUCAAAUUCUAAAAAAUACAGUUGCCUACUCUUCAGGUAUCUAAGCCCAAAAAGAGUUCCUGGUUUGCUGAAAAGACUCCAAUUUUCAACCUGUGCCCCCAACACUCCAUGGCACAAAGCCCCUCAGCCCACUUUUCCACCUGGUUCCUGACACGGAUUAAGCGCUCCGCUUUGCUGGUAUCCAUCACAGUGAAACAGCCUCCAACAUAAAACAGAUCCGGGGGAAAAUAGCACUCUCUUGCUGAAAUCCAUGUGGAAGCCCAGACAAAAGAAACAUCAGUUAAGCACAAGCAAGAAUUUAAUUUCCAAAACUUAGUGGGGUGUAAGUAAGUCCCUUAAUUAAAGCUUUUGUAGCAUCUCCUCGAGGUCUAUAAUUGUCUCUCUGUGCUCGAGCGGCAGGACCACUUUGAGGACCUUGGGGGUAAUUCUCGGCCAGUACCGCAGCCCAGCACCCAGUCUUUAGCACAUUUUCUGGCUAAUUGACCUUCAAAGAGUUUGUGAGCUCCCACUCUUGCUCGUUGCCAAACACCUUUCACAGUUUCUUUUUCCCCUGUCUUUCUUUUAGAGUCGUAUUAUAGGCCCAAAGUUUGGAUAAGCUUUCCACAACGAGUCACUCCUGUAAUUUUAUGAAGCAUCGGAAGUAGAGGUUUUGGGCGGUAACUGAGCAGACCCCUAAUCCGAACGCGGCACAGGUUAUCAAGCAUGAGGCCCUUAAUGCCUUAAUCUUCAACCCCUGCCACUGGCUAUAUUCAACUAAUUCAUCUGGUACUUAAGUUCGCCAUCUCUAAUAACCAUCUGACUUACAGUUUUAUUUUUCCCUCUCUCCACAUCACUGAGACACUUCGGGAUUCAAAUCUACACACUGUUACCUGCCUUCAUCACCCCGAUUUUCUCCAAAGAAAGAAGAUCAAAAGAAAGAAAAAGCCCUUACACAACUUUACAGUGCUAAUCCCAACACACCUGCAGACAUCAUUAACUCUUAAAGCGAAGGCAACCGGACAUGAGGAGGCCGGGUGCCCGCUCAGCCCCACAGCACGGGACCAGGGAGGACACCUGUGCUCAUGGCGACAUCCUAUCGAGACAGGACAGACAAAACCCCUACUGGAUCCUGGAGACUUUAUUCUUAAAAAGUAAUCAGCAGAGCCCAGAUUAUCUAGUCUUCGAAUAAAAAGGAGAAAUGUCUUCAAUAAAGCACCUUUUAAAAUAAAUCACCACAAUCAACCUUAUGAUAAGUUUUUAGAAUCAGAACUCCGAAGUUUCCCAGUUUUAUUUUGUAUAGAGAAAUGUGCCAUUUAUUUCCAUGGAUAUCACUUAACAUUUCUUAAGAUCUACUUUAAAGUUUAAUCUUUCAUGCCUCUCAUACACAUUCAUAUUUAAAAACCUGAAGGUGGUCAGCAAUGUUUGAAGAAUUUAAAUGUGAUCCAUCCAAUAACGAUUUUAAAUCAGGCUCAAAUUUACUUGUAUAAAACUAAAGGAUUUUUAACUCCAGAUUAAAAUGUGCCCUACCUCUACUGGU